rnacentral:lncRNA from 1 species
GGGGCGGCGCAGCCCCGCGCGGUUGUGGGAUCGCUCCCGGGGGCCGCUCCUCUCUCGGGCACUGGGGUCGCGGGAGACGUCGUCGGGAGCUCGGUUUCUGGAGGCCCUUCCCCACCCGGCCUCUGCCUCCUCCACUCCCCCGGGCUGGACGGAACGGGGCCCAGCGCGGGAUGCGAGGGUCUUACUAUGUCACCCAGACUGAAGUGCAGUGGCAUGAUCACAGGUCAUUGCAUCCUCAACCACCCAGACUCAAGCAAUCCUCCUGUCUCAGCCUUCCAAGUAACUGAGACCACAGACAAAGCCUCACUCUGUCACCCAGACUGGAGUGCAGUGGUAUAAUCAUAGCUCACUACAGCCUUGACCUCCUGAGCUCAAGCAGUCCUCCUGUCUCAGCCUCCCAAGUAGCUGGGAUGACAGUGUGCACCACCACACCCAGCUAAUUUUUUUUUUUUUGGUCUUGCUGUGUUGCCCGGGCUGGACUCAAGUGAUCUUCCCUUCUCAGCCUCUCAAAGUGCUGGAAUUACAGGCAUGAGCCACCGUGCCCAGCCAGAGGUAUUGUUUUUGAUACUAUAGUAAAUAUUUUAUUUAAAUUUCCAGGUGGUUAUUGCUAGUAUGCAGAAAAUAUUUUUUUGCAUUAACCUAUGCUAAAGUCACUUACUAUUUUGAUUUGCCUUUCAUAAAGAUUCCUUAAAUGUUUCUACAUACACAAUCAUGUCAUCUGCAGAUAGACAGUUUUAUUUCUUCUUUUCAAUCUGUAUGGUUUUCUUUGCCUUUUUCUUGCCUAUUGUACUGGCUAGGACUUCCAGUGUAAUGUUUAAUAGAAAUCCUGAGACUGGACAUCCUUGCCUUAUUUUCAAUCUGAGGAGAAAGCAUUCAGUUGUUCAUCAUUAACAGACAAUGUUAGCUGAAGGUUUUUCAGAGCUUGUGUACUCUACCAGGAUGAAGAAGGUCCCUUCUAUUUCCAGUUUGCUAAGAGUUUUAAAAUUGUGAAUGGAUGGCGAAUUUUGUUAUUUUUCUGCAUCUAAUAAGAGAAUCAUAUAUGGUUUUUCUCCUUUGUUCUGUUAAUAUGGUAGGUAUGUUGAUUUUUUUAGUGUUAAAACAAGCUUGCAUUCUUGGGAUAAACCCCACUUAGUCAUGAUGCAUUAUCCUUGUUAUAUAUUGCUGAAUUCAGUUUGCCAAAAAUUUAACUAAGGAUGUUUGCAUCUGUAUUCAGUGAGGUAUACUGUAUUCAGUGAGGUAUUCCUUUCAAUGUCAUUGUCUGGGCUCAGACAAUGACUAGAGAAGUCAUCUUUCUUUGUUUUUAGAAUGAGUUUGUGUGUGUUUGUUAUUAUUUUUCCUUAAAUAUUUGAUAGAAUUUACUGCUGAAGCCACCUCAGUCUGAAGUUUCUUUGCAGGAAGUUUUAAUUCAUAAUUAAAUUUCCUUAGCAUAUAUAGGGCUUUUUUCUUUUUUCUUUUUUUGAGACAGAGUGUCACAGUGUCUCCCGGGCUGGAGUGCAAUGGCGCGAUCUCAGCUUACUGCAGCCUUUGCCUCCCGGGUUCAAGCAAUUCUCCUGCCUCAACCUCCCAAGUAGCUGGGAUCACAGGCGCCUACCACCAUGCCCAGCUAAUUUUUUGUAUUUUCAGUAGAGACAGGGUUUCACUAUGUUGGCCAGGCUGGUCCCAAACUCCUGAGAUGAGGAUAAUUUUUUGUAUUUUUAGUAGAGACGGGGUUUCACUAUGUUGGCCUGGCUGGUCUCAAACUCCUGACCUCGUAAUUCACCCACCUCGGCCUCCCAAAGUGCUGGGAUUACAAGUGUGAGCCACCGUGCCUGGCCUUCUUUCUAGUUUCUUGAAUCACUAUGGUUAAUCUGUGGCAUUCAACCAAUUUGUCCAUUUUAUCUAUGCCAUUGAAUUUAUUUACAUAAUUAUAAUCUUUUUUUGUUUUAAUGUCUGCAAGAUCUGUGGUGAUAUCUAUUUCAUUCCUAAUGUUGGUAAUUUUUUCUUUUCCUGCUUGCUCUUAUUGUUUGUUUGUUUGUUUGUUUGUUUUGAGAUAGGUUCUCAUUCUGUCACCCAGACCAGGCUGGAAUACAGUAGCGAUCAUAACUCACUCAGCCCCAAACUCCUGGUCUCAGGCAGUCCUCCUGCCUCAGCGUUUCAAAUUGUUGGGAUUACAGGCAUGAGCCACUGUGUUCAGCCUCUUUUAAUUCCUAUAUGUAUUAGCCAGUUGAGGUGGCUUGCUUGAACCCAAGAGUUCUGGGCAACACAGCAAGACCUCAUCUCUACAAAUAAUUUUAAAAAUUAGCUGGGGCAUGGUGGCGCACACCUCUGGUCUCAGCUACUUGAGAGGCUGAGACAGGUGGAUCACUUGAGCCCAGGCAGUCAAGGCUUCGGUGAGCCGUGAUCCCGCCACUGCACUCCGGCCCAGGUGACACUAUGAGACUCUGUCUCAAAAAAAUAAACUAUAGAAAAUCUGAGUAGCCCUAUAUGUAGUAAGGAAAUUUAAUUAUCAGUUAAACUGUCACCUGGGUAACAGAGUGAGACCACGUCUCAAGGGAAGGGGAGGGGAGGGGAGGGUCUUGUAUUUAUUAUUUCCUUCCUUUUACUUGGUUUUACUUUGGUUUAAUUUGGUUUACAUUGGUUUAAUUUGUUCUUCUUUUACUAUUUUUUUUUUACUGAAUCAUCAUUAUUGUUCUACCACUCGAAUCACCGCAUUGCUGUUGCUAAAUGACCAAUAGACCAACAGAUCCUUCCAUAGAAACAAAAAAAAGCCCUUGCUUUUCAAUAUUACCAAAGGGAAACAUAUAGUCAGAACUGCAAGAAAACUGCCUUGUGAUCCGGCUUCUGUCACAUUUUAGUUUACAAUACAGGAGCAUAAAGUAGCUACUCAACUACCUCGAAAAUAAGAGAAUCAUUUACCUUUCUGUAUAUAACCUAAUUAAAACCAUGUCAGAUCCAGCAAAACUGAUUUUCAUCUCUCCUCAGUAGAUAUAGGAGUAUAUAUUGAUAUUUCUACUUCAUGACUAGAUAGGGGACUAAAUUAAAAUUCGCUACUCAGUUCUCAGUUGUAAGGCCCACAGUUGCACAUGGGUAGGUGGGUAGUUGCACAUGCACAGAGUUGGUGGUCACAACUCUGCUUUCUUGCCCUUCUGCUUAACAUGGAGCUAUUUAAUCUUAUUUAUUUAUUUAUUUAUUUAUUUAUUUAGAAAUAGGGUCUGCUCUGUCACCUUGGCUGGAGUGCAGUGGCACAAUCAUGGCUCACUGCAGCCUAGAACUCCUGGGCUCAAGUGAUGUUCCCACCUUAGCCUCCUGAGUAGCUGGGACUAUAGACACACACAACCACGCUCUGCCAAUUUUGAAAUUUUUUGUAGAAAUGAGGUCUCCCUAUGUUGCCCAGGCUGGUCUUGAACUCCUGGCCUCAAGCAGUCCUCCCACCUCAGCCUCCCAAGUGCUAGGAUUACAGGCAAGAGCCACAGCGCCAGGCUGGAACUAUGUAAGAUAGCACUUAGCCCUGCAUGUAUGUGUUACUAACAAUGGUUGUGUAGAUCACUCCUCCAAAGGGAAAGUCUCUCUAGAUGGGUUUUUGCCCCAAUUAAGCAAUAGCUUCCUCCAAACGGUGCUCACCUAUCCAUUGACUGCGAUAUUUGAAGACAAAGUGAGUCUUCACUCACCAUCACCAUUCCCCACGUCCCCUUUCCCUGGGAGCGCACACACUUAGGAGGGCAGUGCUGCUUCCUCCACAGCAGUGACAGCUGGCCAGGAUUUAUGAAAUGUCUCUCAAGGAAAUGUGCUCUCUUCCAUGCUCAGAGAUGCCACGUGGUCACAGUGCAGUCUUCAUGCAGUUGUAGCUUAGACUUCCAGAUUCAAAGGUCAGAAACCAGCUUGGAAUUUUCCUGGUCCUAACUCAAACCUGGCAUAAGUCAAAGUUUAAAUCCAACAGGUUCCAAAGGAAAUCAGAUUAAACACAUGUGCUGCUUGGUCAUGCAAGGACCCUGGAGUAGAAAAGUAGGUAUUGCCGUCUUGGUCAUGAAAGCCACAACAUCACCAGCAAGAGGACAGGCACUUAGAUCUGUUCACUGCUGUGCCCUCAACUCCUGGAAUAGGACCUGGUGCAGAGUGUGAUCAGAAAGUAUUUAUUGAGUUUCAGGUACAGUGGCUCAUGCCUGUAAUCCUAACACAUUGGAAGACCAAGGUGGGAGGAUCACUUGAGCCCAGGAGUUUGAGACCAGCCUGGGUGACACAGGGAGACCCUAUCUCUAUAAAAAAUAAACUUAAAAAAAAAUUGGGCCCUGCACAAUGGUUCACGCCUGUAAUCCCAGCUCUUUGGGAAACUGAAGCGGAUGGAUCAUCUGAGGUCAGGAAUUCGAGACCAGCCUGGCCAACAUGGUGAAACCCCCAUCUCUACUAAAAAUAGAAAAAUUAGCCGGGCGUGGUGGCGGGCACCUGUAAUCCCAGCUACUCGGGAGGCUGAGGCAGGAGAAUCACUUGAACCCAAGAGGUGGAGGUUGCAGUGAGGCGAGAUUGCACCACUGCACUCCAGCCUGGGCAACAGAGCGAGACUUGGUCUACACGCUUUGUAAUCUAAAACAUUCUCUACCAAUACCUCAAUCAGUGAAUUCUUGCUUUAUUGAUACAUUCUAGUAUUCAGUUGUGAUUUUAAUAUGCUAUUUUGGUACUUUCUGCUUUCAGUUUUCAUUGCUGUGGCUAUUGCCUUAAACAGAAACAAAAAACUAAAACAAUUUUACAACCAUCCAAAAGAGGCUUGGAAACUUUUUUUUGGCUGGAUAUCCAUAGCACAAUUUAAUUCAGUAAACAUAAACAGUUAAAAUUAUUCCAGUACACAACCAUGUUUUAAAAAAGAGAUUACACCCAAUUUUGGCAACAACACCCAGGAAAUAAGCAUUCUUUUACAUUUGGUUCAAACUUUCUGAAUGGCAGUUGUGCAACACUUGUUGUGAAAAACUUUAGAAUAUUAUAAACAUGUUAAUCCUGUAUUUCCAUUUCUGUGAAUUCAUCCAAAAGAAAUAACCAUGGAUAUGGGUAGAGACAGAGCCAUAUGGAAUGCACACUGCAGUGGUGAACACAUGGCCCAGCUCUGCCAUCAAGGAGAAGGAACAUGAAUGGAGCUGGAGGCCAUCAUCCUUAGUGAACUAACACAGGAGCAGAAAACCAAAUACCACAUGUUCUCAUGUGUAAGUGGGAGCUAAAUGAUGAGAACACAUGGACACAAAGAGGGGAACAACAGACACUGAAGCCUCCUUGAGGGAGGAGGGUAAGAGGAAGGAGAAGAUCAGAAAAGAUAACUACCAGGUACUAUGGUAGCUUAGUACCUGGGUGAUGAAAUAAUCUGUACACCCAACCCUCAUGACAGAAGUUUACCUGUGUAACAAACCUGCACAUGUAUCCCUGAAACUAAAAGUUUUUUAAAAAGUUAUUUAAUAUAUAUAUAUUUUUUUGAGACGGAGUUUUGCUCUUGUUGCCCAGGCUGGAGUGCGGUGGCGCAAUUUCGGCUCACCACAACCUCCGCCUCCCAGGUUCAAGCUAUUCCCCUGCCUCAGCCUCCCUAGUAGCUGGGAUUACAGGCUUGUGCCACCACGCCGGCUAAUUUUGUAUUUUUUGUAGAGACGGGGUUUCUCCAUGUUGGUCAGGCUGGUCUCGAACUCCCGACCUCAGGUGAUCCACCCCCCUCGGCCUCCCAAAGUGCUAGGAUUACAGGCAUGAGCCACUGCGCCCGGCAAAAAGUUAUUUAAUAUUAAUGGGACAAUACUCAUUGCAAGAAUCAGACUUCAAUUGCUAGCAUAAGUAAAUGACAGGCAGGAGAUAUUGAAAAUGCAAUCUUAUAGACAUUCAAGGAGAGGACGCAGGACAUUUCUGUGUCAUAAAUGUACUAUGGAAAAUAAAAAUGAGAAAAAUGGAAAUAAAAUACAAGAAAAGGUUAUGAUAAAUUUCAUAUUAUUUUACCACAAUAAAAAAAUUUUAAUAAAUUAUAAAUGGUGUGAUAUGUUUUGCCUGUGUUCCACCCAAAUCUCAUCUUGAAUUAGAGCUCCCACAAUUCCCACGUGUUGUGGCUGGGACCCUGUGGGAGAUAAUUGAAUCAUGGGGGCAGUUUACCCCAUACUGUUCUCUUGGUGGUGAAUAAGUCUCAUGAGAGUUGAUGGUUUGAUAAGGGGUUUCCCCUUUUGCUUGGCUCUCAUUCUCUCUUGACUGCCACCAUGUAAGAUGUGCCUUUUGCCUUCCACCAUGAUUGUGAAGCCUCCCAGCCACAUGGAACUGUGAGUCCAUUAAACCUUUUUCUUUACAAAUUACCCAGUCUCGAGUAUGUCUUUAUCAGCAGUGAGAGAACAGACUAAUAUGAGUGUGAUCUAAUUAACAUAAAGGGAGAAUGAGGA